CAGGACGAACGCUGGCGGCGUGCCUAACACAUGCAAGUCGAGCGAGGAGAUCCUCGGGAUGAUCCUAGCGGCGGACGGGUGAGUAACACGUGGGCAACCUGCCUCAUAGAGAGGAAUAGCCUUCCGAAAGGGAGAUUAAUACCUCAUAACAUUGCAGUUUCGCAUGGAACAGCAAUUAAAGGAGUAAUCCGCUAUGAGAUGGGCCCGCGGCGCAUUAGCUAGUUGGUGAGGUAAUGGCUCACCAAGGCGACGAUGCGUAGCCGACCUGAGAGGGUGAUCGGCCACAUUGGGACUGAGACACGGCCCAGACUCCUACGGGAGGCAGCAGUGGGGAAUAUUGCACAAUGGGGGAAACCCUGAUGCAAGCAACGCCGCGUGAGUGAUGGCGGCCUUCGGGUUGUAAAGCUCUGUCUUCAGGGACGAUAAUGACGGUACCUGAGGAGGAAGCCACGGCUAACUACGUGCCAGCAGCCGC
rnacentral:rRNA from 1 species